rnacentral:rRNA from 1 species
GAUCCUGGCUCAGGGCGAACGCUGGCGGCGUGCUUAACACAUGCAAGUCGAACGAAGAGCGAUGGAAGCUUGCUUCUAUCAAUCUUAGUGGCGAACGGGUGAGUAACGCGUAAUCAACCUGCCCUUCAGAGGGGGACAAUAGUUGGAAACGACUGCUAAUACCGCAUACGAUCCAACCUCGGCAUCGAGGAUGGAUGAAAGGUGGCCUCUAUUUAUAAGCUAUCACUGAAGGAGGGGAUUG